rnacentral:rRNA from 1 species
AUGCAAGUCGAGCGGUAGCAGUCCUUCGGGAGCUGACGAGCGGCGGACGGGUGAGUAACGCGUAGGAAUCUACCCAGUAGCGGGGGAUAGCCCGGGGAAACUCGGAUUAAUACCGCAUACGCCCUAAGGGGGAAAGCAGGGGAUCUUCGGACCUUGCACUAUUGGAGGAGCCUGCGUUGGAUUAGCUAGUUGGUAGGGUAAAGGCCUACCAAGGCGACGAUCCAUAGCUGGUCUGAGAGGAUGAUCAGCCACACCGGAACUGAGACACGGUCCGGACUCC